rnacentral:misc_RNA from 1 species
CCGAGUGAGGGCCCUCUGGGUCCAACCUCCCACCCGUGUUUAUCGUACCUUGUUGCUUCGGCGGGCCCGCCACUUGUGGCCGCCGGGGGGCACCUGCCCCCGGGCCCGCGCCCGCCGAAGACACCAUUGAACGCUGUAUGAAGAUUGCAGUCUGAGCUUAUUAGCUAAAUUAAUUA